rnacentral:rRNA from 1 species
AUUGAACGCUGGCGGCAGGCCUAACACAUGCAAGUCGAACGAGUGGCGGACGGGUGAGUAAUGUCUGGGAAACUGCCUGAUGGAGGGGGAUAACUACUGGAAACGGUAGCUAAUACCGCAUACCAUCGGAUGUGCCCAGAUGGGAUUAGCUAGUAGGUAGGGUAAUGGCCUACCUAGGCGACGAUCCCUAGCUGGUCUGAGAUGAUGACCAUCCAAACUAGAAGUGAUACACGGGCCAUAUUCCUAAGGGAGGCAGCAGUGGGGAUGAUUGCACAAUGGGCGCAAGCCUGAUGCAGCCAUGCCGCGUGUAUGAAGAAGGCCUUCGGGUUGUAAAGUACUUUCAGCGGGGAGGCGUUACCCGCAGAAUAAGCACCGGCUAACUCCGUGCCAGCAGCCGCGGUAAUAC